CCGGCUCGCGGCAUCUUCAAAUCGAUUGGAGGAUAGACAGCUCGUCUAUGUUCAGAGCCGCACGUAAGUACUAUAUAUUUUCACUGAAUAUAUUUAAAUUUUAACCAUUUUAAAAUCUAAUAUUUAUUAUUUAAAAUAAUUUUUGCAGUAUAUUUACAGAGCCUGGGGUGUCUCAUGUGGUUACCAAUUGUUGAACCUCUAUACAACUCCCGUACCAAAUGAGAAUCAUCUUGCGUGGAUCUGGAUGUUAAUCCAGAAAAUGAAGAAGAAAUGCGGAAGCAAACGAUGGAGACACAAGGAGAUGCUAGGGUUUUGGCAUUGGAAUCUGAGAAAAAGAGAGAG
rnacentral:lncRNA from 1 species